rnacentral:lncRNA from 1 species
UUUAAUUGUUAAUUGCAUGUCAUAGAUGUUGCUCAAAUGAACAUGUUUUUCACAAAAUUUCCUUCAAGUGGUAUCAGAGCCUAGGUCUAGUAGUUGGUGAAUCCUUUUGGGUUUUGUAUUUUCAUAGUUUAUGAUUUGAAUGUUGUAAUUGUUACAAGCUUUAUUCUUGCUUCUUUGAAUGUAAAUUUUGUUAGAAAAUUUGUCAUCUCAAAUGUUGUAGAUGUAGUUCAUAUGAGCAUGAAUUUUGGAGCUAAAAUUUGGUGUCAUGUUUUUGGGGAAAUUCGGCCAAAUCCAAAGGGUGGAUUUUUGGGUUCAUGUUUGUCUUGUUAAAAGUGUUUUAAAGUGACAUUAGGAACCCCUAAGUACCCUAGUAUGGUAAUAUGUUUUUUCCCCUAAGUUUGAGAGUUUUUGGGUGAAAAAUGUUCAUGGAGCUCUUAUGAGUUUUCAUGGAUGUUCUUCAUUGUUCUUGUUAUGUUUUUAGCAAGAACAAAAAGGUUGGGUAUUUUGAUUCAAAAUUUUUGGUUGUUUACAUAAAGUUUUUGUUAGUGAUGGAUGGUUUGAAUUUUCAAUCAAUACCCAUACCUUUUCUACUAUUCACACCAUACCAAUCACUUGCACCUUUUCCUUGUUUCAAGAAACCAUGUUUUAUGGAAAUCACUUUUUCAAACCUACCCAUCACCUUUCACUUUUGUUGAAAAAUUCAAAAGUUUUAUGACACCUCUCAUCCAAAACCGGCCACCCUAUUAAAUAAGGUACUUUUGGGGCUUAAAUGCAAUUACAUAAAGUUUUGAUACUUUUGUGUUGAUGUUAAAAUUAACUUGACACACAAAUUAAACCCUAUUGAUGACAAUUGUAGUAUUAAGCAAGUAGGGAUCGUUCUAGACCGGGGAUUAACUAGGGAUGCUAAUCAACUCAAAUAAAACUCAAAAACACUAAACUAGACUCUAUAGACUCAAAACUAACUUAAAACACUCAAAACAUCAAAACUAGAUGAAAUUGACUCAAUUCUAGACCUAACAAGUGAUUUGGACGAAAAUAAACUUAACUUGACUCAAAAGACUAAAAGAAAACAGGUUUUAACUCUAAAAACAAGACUUAAGAAAAAGGGAUUUUGUUUUGAUGAAAUUAAAACUUAAAAACAGAAACUUGUAAAACAAACUUAAGAAGACACGAAAUUGAUGAAAUAGAAUGGUGAAAGGCUAGUUAGAGGGUUCCUUCUCCACACAUGUCAUAUGCAUACGAAUCGAUUUCCAAUUAUUCUUUCGAUAAACCAUGAAUCACAAUGCCCCAAAUUAAUUGUAUUGAACUAAUUAAUUCUCAGAUUUCCCUAGAUUCAUUGAAUUGAAUGGAAAACGCAUCACAACCAAAUUAUUCUUUAUCAAGUUCCCUAACUAUGGAAUACGCAUGAUAGAAACACUUAACAAAGAUCAUUAAGUUUAAUGGAAACCAUAAGCAUUGACAAGACAUUCAUAACUAUGAAAAGUAUGUUACUCUUGCCUAGGAUUUACUAAACACAAUCGUGACUAGCAACUUUUACUACUCAUGAAUAUAAGUUCAUAACGAUUAGGUGAAAUUUCUUUAUACUCUAGCAUCAAAUUCAUGCAUGCAAACUAAGUUGGCCACCUUAAUCAACAUACAAGAACAAGUUCUUAAUAAAACAGAUAAGUAAACCACAUUCAUGAUUCAUGAAACAAUAAUUGGAAGAAAUCAAUUCAUAUAAAACAUAUGAUCAUGGCUUUGAAUUCACCUUCUAACUAUAAAGAAAUUAGUUCCUCAUGUUCGCAAUUAAACAAAGAUAACUUAAAUUAAACAUUGAAAGUAAAAAGAUGGAAAACACCUAAGAACGCUCCAGCACUCCCAAAGAUUGGGGCAUAGGCACAGCACAAAGGCUCCUCCUCUUUCUCCUUGCAAUACUCACGGCACAAUGAGGGAUGAAUGUGUUUGAGGGAUGUAUGAGUGUAGAAAAAUAUGGUAAAGGGUGGUGGUUUAAUUGCUGCACAAAUGUUUGUAUUUAUAGGGCUAGGGAAACCCACAAAUUUCUGAAGGAAAUGAAUGUGUAUUUGGCACAAUUCAUGAAGGAAAAGGACUGGGGUUCACCAAAAUCUGAAGGGAAAAGGUUUGCACAAUCCUAAGGGAAAAGGAUUGCAGGUUCUAGAGCUUCUAGAAAGGGUCCAGGCGCCAGAUUUGUAGGACAAGGGAUAAGGCCUUCUAGAAAGGUUGUUCCAACUCCUAUUUCUGAUCCUAAAUGAACAAGGAUACACGGCAUGGUUUUAGAGAAGGAUUACAAGUCCUAAUUCACCUAGGUAAGGGCAUCUAUGCGGCACUUAAGGGAUAAGGGUUCUAGAAUCUGAAAUAUAUGUUUUAAAUGCAUAAUUAUCCCUUAGAAAUAGCUGGAAUUAAGGCACAAACUGAUUUGGAUAAGAUAAGAUAAGAUAAGGCUAGAUAGGCAAGGAUAAGAUAAGAUAAGGUUGGAUAAGGUUUUGGAUAAUGUUCCUUCUUUUGAGCUAAUUCCUUAUCUUCUUUGUCUUGGAUUUAUUUCUUCACUCUUUUCAGCUCAUUCCUAGCCUCUUGAACUUCAAAUUUGUCCAUCCAUCUUGCUCCAUUCAUAAGCCAUCCAUUUGAUGCCCAAAACUGCCUCAAAAAGCUCCAAAUUGCACUUUCUUGCCAACUUUGUCAUAUAGACCUACAAACACACGAAAAUAACUUAAAACACUAUAAUAAACACAAACUAAUUAUGAAAACGCAAGAAAACAAGCUAACUAAGUCGCAUAAAUAUGCUCCUAUCAUGCGUAUUUGUACUUUGACCCGAAAGUUUACAUUUUUACGUAAAGGCCCAAAAUCACUAAAGGACAAAAUAUUUUGCUCUUUUAAUGAAGUUUUUGUAUUUGAUGAAAUUUUUGGGUUCUAGUUGUAAUUACAUGAAGUAGUGGACUUUUGUGUUUUUACAAAGUGACCUCAAAAGUUUGUGUUUUGCAAUAUAGCCCAAUGGUUGAGGUUAUUAUUUUUCGGCCCAAAUUAGUUAAGAACAAAAUAGUUCUGUACCUUUAAAUGAGAAUUGGAUUUUCAUUUCAUUUAGCUCCAUUUAAAUCAAUUCUAUGGAUACAAAAACC